ensembl:lncRNA
GGAUAACCCUGAUUUCCAUAUGCAGAUUUAUCUGCACUGACAGCCCCCUCUCCCUCUCUUAGUCUUUCUGUUUCCUCUCUCCCUCCCUCUCUCUCCCUCUUUCUCUUCCCCUCUCUUUCUCUUCCUCUCUGUCUUUUUGUCUCUCUUUAUGUCUAUUGCAUUAUGCUUGAAUAAUUUUCAGCUGGGGUUUUUUUUUUCUCUCCUCUUGCACAUGCUAAAAUAACUAGACAAAGAUGCAAGGUGGUUGCUGCAGUCCCUGUCUCUAGGACAAAACCAAGAAAGCUCGGGUUUGCAAUGCCACCUUUCCUUUUUUUUUUUUUUUCUUUCUUUUUUUUUUCCCCCACCCAUGCUCGGUGAUUAAACUUACCCAGGAUGGGGAAGAAAAAGGAGCUGGAAAUGAGAUAAGGUUAAGGAAAAAGCCCAUUGCAGCAGCUGCAGCCAGUGGUGUCUGCUGCCAGAUGUGCUAAGGUUCCUGGGGUCCUUGACACUAAAAGGCAGUAUUAAAAUAUUUGGAGACAAAAGCUGCAUCUUCAGUGCUCAUUUUCUUUAUUUAACAUGGCAGCAAGCACCGUGUGGGGGAAAAUCAACACGCUGGAUGUUGAAUUGGACUUUUCUCCGUUCUAGGAUGAAAGGAUGUUAUCUAUCCCGUGCCAAGAGGGAACUAAGGUGCAGGGGGAGGGGAAGAAAGUCUUCCAAACUAGCCCGCCAUGAGCAAUGAACAUAUGGCUGUUACUAUCAGCACUAGUGUAUUUGCGGCGAUGCCUAUCAACAUCCACCAGAGAGCAGGGCAGCUCCAAAACCCACAUCUUUUAUGCUGUGGAAAUUGAUGGAGACAGCAACACAGCCAGCUUCUUGGCCAAACAACAUGGAAUGCAGUUCAUUUCAAAGGAAGAGAGAGUGGCAUCAACAGCGUGCCCCUGUGUCUGAAAGACAUUACUCGAUGGAAGAACAGUCUGUUAGACUCCCCCUGGGCAUGAUGGAAGCGAUCCCGGUGAGGAAAGAAAAUAUUUCCAGGAACUGAAGGAAUGGUUAUAGCAUCUCUAAAGAGGACAUUUGCCCGUGACUGAUAAAUAGAAAGGAAGCUUUCUGCCACUGUAGGCUGUGCUGAAGACUGCACCUUUUCCUGCCAGGUAUGGAAUUUGCUACAGUAAUUCAAAACUUGUUGAUCACUUGUGCUGGAUUACUUCUGGCUCUUCUACUUGGAGUUGUCAGCUGAAAAGUGUAGAAACAUCAGGUGUUAAAGCCUGAUGAAAUUUCUAAGUAGCAUAAAGAAGAGCGCAGCCUGUUAUUUAGAUGUGUCAGCAGCAAAUUGCAUCGAAAUAUCUUCAAGGACGUGGUCAUUCUCUACAGACCUCCUGGUGGGUGAGAACCUUUGGGAUAGAGCCCCUGUGACCCCCCCAUGCAUAAUACUUUAAAGUAAGGAUUGAAUCCUUUUAGUGGAGGUUCUUUGGUCUGAAAAUAGGGGUGGGAUUUGCCAGCUAGUGCAGGUAAUGGGAAUGCCCCCUUUUGCAUACCACUUCCUCCAGUACAGUGACAUCUCUUCCAUCCAUUAUAUUCCUCUGCAAUCUUUUCAAAAAUAUAUUUUUUGAAAAUAUUUUUGAAAAUAUAUUUGAAACAUACUUUUCAAAAAUCAUUAUGUUUCUACCAGCACUUAUAAUUAGGUUUCAGUAUGGUAUUUGAUGCAUGUUGUAUUAUGAUAUUUUCCCUGUAAAUUCUUAUGUAUGCAUUUAUUUUCAUGAUACUUCAAUAAAAACAUCAAAAUUGAAAUUCA